AUUAAUAUCAGCGUACACAAUUUCCUUUUGUAUUCAAUGAUUGGUUAUCAAAGUUUCGUUGCCUUACUCGUGUGAGUUGGAGUCAGAUAGGGUGAUGCUGUCCAAUUAUAAUAACUAUUUCGGCCUCACUAGAUUCAAUAUUUUCGUCUAUAUAUAAUUAAUUACGAUUAAGAUUUCAAGCAUCAGUUGAAACACAUGGAAGAUUCUCACUAUUACGACGUCAUUAUCAUCGGAGCUGGCAUCAUGGGCAGUUCCACCGCCUACUACGCCGCCACACGCGGCCUCAAAACCCUUUUACUUGAACAGUUCGAUUUCCUCCACCACCGUGGUUCCUCCCACGGCGAAUCUCGCACCAUUCGUGCAGCCUAUCCUCAACACUAUUACUAUCCUUUAGUCAUCAAAUCUUAUGAACUCUGGCAACAGGCCCAAGCCCAAGCAGGCUACAACGUCUACUUCAAAGCCCAUCAUUUCGACAUGGCCCCGUCCAACGAUCCCACCAUGCUCGCCGUCAUCAACAGUUGCCGAGAAAACAACGUAUCUUAUGAACUCCUCCGCCGCGAUCAGGUCGCCGAUAAAUUCUCCGGCCGCAUCGACAUUCCAGAAGAUUGGGUUGGUCUCUCAACAGAGCACGGCGGCGUAAUAAAAGCUACAAAAGCGGUGGUGAUGUUUCAGACACUGGCGCGGAACAACGGCGCCGUUUUGAAAGACAAUGCAGAAGUUACAGACAUCAAAAACGACGGUGGCGUUGUCGUUUUAACAAAAAGCGGUGAAAAGUUUCGCGGGAAAAAAUGCGUUGUUACAGUUGGAGCAUGGGUGAAUAAAUUAGUUAAAAAAAUCAGCGGAGUUGAAAUACCGAUACAACCAUUGGAAACUCACGUUUGUUAUUGGAGAAUAAAGGAAGGGCACGAAGGGAAAUUCACACUUGGGAGUAGCGAUUUUCCAACUUUCGCUAGUUGUGGAAAGGUUACUGUUUACGGAACACCUGCGUUUGAGUAUCCGGGUUUGGUUAAAGUUGCGGUUCAUGGUGGUAACCCGUGUGACCCGGAUAAGAGAUCGUGGGGCCCACUUGUUAUGAUGAAUGAGCUGAAGGAGUGGGUUGAAGGGAGAUUUUCUGGUUUGGUUGAUUCGAGUGAACCUGUGGUGAAACAAUCCUGCAUGUAUUCAAUGACACCUGAUGAGGAUUUUGUGAUUGAUUUUUUGGGUGGUGAGUUUGGGAAGAAUGUGGUUUUGGGUGGCGGGUUUUCGGGUCAUGGGUUUAAGAUGGCUCCUGUUAUUGGUAAGAUAUUGACUCAACUCGCGCUGGAUGGGGAAACUAAUGAGGUUGAUUUGAAACAUUUCAGGAUUGGAAGGUUCAACGUGGCAUCUAAGGUUUAGAAAAAUAAUGUACAUUUUUUGGGGUUUUAACCGUUCGGUUUCCAAGAGAAAGGAUUCUAGUAAUUCUAAGUUCAGCGUAAAGGUAAGUAAAAGCUUACCAUAAUUAUUUCGGUAAGAAUUUAAAUUCGAGUUCUUUAGAAUGGUUCCUCCUUAGUUGAAAUUGAUUAACCACUUGAGCUAAACCAUUUGAUAAAGAAAAAUGAAUAUAUAACAACACAAAUGGUGACAACAAUAACUGACCUUUAGAAGUUGGAGUUUUUAGUUCAAAAGAUGAAGUGGGCAGAGUUGGAUAAUUUAAAUAAGAAUGAGUGAGUUAUAAUGUACUUUUAAAAAAUGAAGAAAAAAACAAUUUGUGGACCCUCUGUAUGUCCCUUUUUCUCUAAAAUAGGUUAGUGGAAUUAAAAAGGGUUGCUUUGGGAUAGUUGAGUGUGUUAUGAUUACUAAAAUCAACUACUGUAUCAUUGGCUGCUUGAAUAAGAUAUAUGAACCAGAAAAAGGAAAACAUUCAUUUAAUAAUUCUUAAUAAUCAUUAGUUAGAGGACACGAGGCCAUAGUUGUGUCUGCCACUGUUUUGACCCAAGUAAGACAUUUUUAGGAUGUUUUUUAUAGUAAUGGAAAAGUUAUAAGUUUUGGAGGUUCUCUAAUCCCAAUAUCUUGAAGGAACUAGUAAAAGCUUCCACCUUGUAUUAUGCUUCGUUACUUUUCCUUUAUUUUUGAAUUAUAGGUUUCAAGUUAGGAGCUAGUGUGCAGUUAAGCUGUUUUCUCUCUUCAUGCUGCAAAUUGGAUUGUGAUUCUUGUACUCCAAUUGUGGAGAUAUGCUUUGACUGAUAGAUUUCAUCUCACAUCUACUUGUUUCUUUUUAUGGAACAAGAUGUUUUAGAUUGAAAAUUGCUUCCUCUCGGUUCUGCUUUAUUUUUUUUUUGAAAUAAGGAAUACUUUCAUUAAGCUGGUUCUGGCAAUAAAUCAAAGGCCACAACCGCAGAAAUACAAAUAGGUGUGUCUUCAAUUCUCUUCAAUCCAAACAUAUCUGAAUUAGAAGAAAGAGCAAAUUUAGCUAGAUAAUGAGCAGCUUGAUUAGCUACACGUCCAAUAUGGGUAAAGUAGGUCUUUUGCAAAUUCCGACACCAACAGGCCGCCACUAAACUGAUGCCGUCUGCAUCCCUAAUGACAGCUGCGGUUCCCUAUUUUCUUUCCUUCGAAGGACCUACUGCGUCAACAUUCAGUUAACCUUCUAACGGCAAACACCAUCUGAUAUUUGAAUCCAGCACGGACAUGAACUGAUUCGGGAGCUGCAUUAUCUCAGAAUUUGAAAAAUCAAAUAUUUGGUUCAAAAAUAUGGUAAUGCACAUGAAGUAUCUUGUUUUAGAUUAUUCAGGGAAGGAAUAUGUAAGAGGAGGAACGGAGAACAGUCUUAAUCAUGUUUGUGUAUUUGAAGGUGAAAAGGAAAGAACAUAAAAUGUAGGUGUAGGGUAUUUAUAGUUACAGUUAUUGUUGUAUUUAGUUGGUGACAAUUGCUGCAAGACUUUAACAAUGAAGUUGUUGAUUAAUAUUGUAUGUAUCAUAUUUUUAUUGAAUUAUUGCAAGAGUCUGGGGAUUCAAACAAA